GGGGGGGGGGGGGGGGGGGGGGGGGGGGGGGGGGGCGGGGGGCGGGGCGGUGGGGGGGUGCUGUGAGGGGGGGCGAGGGGCGGACGGGGGGGGGAUACAUCGGAGGCUACUUUUUCGUGGGGGGGAACGUGGGGAAACUUACGCUAAUACCGCGUACGACCUACGGGUGAAAGCAGGGGAUCUUCGGACCUUGCGCGAUUGAGUGAGCCGAUGUGGGAUUAGCUAGUUGGCGGGGUAAAGGCCCACCAAGGCGAGGAUCCGUAGCUGGUCUGAGAGGAUGAUCAGCCACACUGGAACGGAGACACGGUCCAGACUCCUACGGGAGGCAGCAGUGGGGAAUAUUGGACAAUGGGCGCAAGCCUGAUCCAGCCAUACCGCGUGGGUGAAGAAGGCCUUCGGGUUGUAAAGCCCUUUUGUUGGGAAAGAAAAGCAGCAGGUUAAUACCCCGCUGUUCUGACGGUACCCAAAGAAUAAGCACCGGCUAACUUCGUG
rnacentral:rRNA from 1 species